AGUUAUGGCGGCUGUGCGUGGGAGGCCUUCGGGUCUGCCGGGUUUUGUCCGUUUAUCUCGGUUAUUCCACCCCGCGCACAGUUGCCACCCAU
rnacentral:antisense_RNA from 1 species